UACGGGAGGCAGCAGUGGGGAAUAUUGCACAAUGGGCGCAAGCCUGAUGCAGCAACGCCGUGUGAGUGAAGAAGGUUUUCGGAUCGUAAAACUCUGUCCUAAGGGAAGAAACAAAUGACGGUACCUUAGGAGGAAGCCCCGGCUAACUACGUGCCAGCAGCCGCGGUAAUACGUAGGGGGCAAGCGUUAUCCGGAAUCACUGGGCGUAAAGGGUGCGUAGGCGGCUUAGCAAGCCAGGGGUGAAAGGCAUUGGCUCAACCAAUGUAAGCCUUUGGAACUGUUAAGCUUGAGUGCAGGAGAGGUAAGUGGAAUUCCUAGUGUAGAGGUGAAAUUCGUAGAUAUUAGGAGGAACACCAGUGGCGAAGGCGACUUACUGGACUGUAACUGACGCUGAUGCACGAAAGCGUGGGUAGCGAACAGGAUUAGAUACCCUGGUAG
rnacentral:rRNA from 1 species